UACGUAGGGGGCAAGCGUUGUCCGGAUUUAUUGGGCGUAAAGAGCGUGUAGGCGGCCUUACAGGUCAGCUGUGAAAACUCGAGGCUCAACCUCGAGACGUCGGUUGAAACCGUAUGGCUAGAGUCCGGAAGAGGAGAGUGGAAUUCCCGGUGUAGCGGUGAAAUGCGCAGAUAUCGGGAAGAACACCCGUGGCGAAGGCAGCUCUCUGGGACGGUACUGACGCUGAGACGCGAAGGCGUGGGGAGCGAACGGG
rnacentral:rRNA from 1 species